UAUGUUGCGUUGAAGGAAAAGAGUACUUAAAUCCCUCUGUAUAAGCGAGUCCGGGAAUGGUGUGAGCCGGAUUGCAGAAAUUAAGGAAGGCGUUCCGGAGCGACAUCACUUUUAAAGAGGCUGCUAUUUGCAGCAAAUAGGGUGGAACCGCGGGUAAACUCUCGUCCCUAUG
rnacentral:ncRNA from 1 species